AUUGAACGCUGGCGGCAGGCUUAACACAUGCAAGUCGAACGGUAACAGGAGAAAGCUUGCUUUCUUGCUGACGAGUGGCGGACGGGUGAGUAAUGCUUGGGAAUCAGGCUUAUGGAGGGGGAUAACGACGGGAAACUGUCGCUAAUACCGCGUAGUGUCGAGAGACGAAAGUGCGGGACCUUUGGGCCGCAUGCCAUGAGAUGAGCCCAAGUGGGAUUAGGUAGUUGGUGGGGUAAAGGCCUACCAAGCCGACGAUCUCUAGCUGGUCUGAGAGGAUGACCAGCCACACCGGGACUGAGACACGGCCCGGACUCCUACGGGAGGCAGCAGUGGGGAAUAUUGCGCAAUGGGGGCAACCCUGACGCAGCCAUGCCGCGUGAAUGAAGAAGGCCUUCGGGUUGUAAAGUUCUUUCGGUGACGAGGAAGGUUGUUGUGUUAAUAGCACAACAAA
rnacentral:rRNA from 1 species